AAUCUUAAAAUAAAUAAAUAAAUAAAUAUAAAAAAUUUAAAAAUUGCAGCGAUUAGAGACACAGGUUAUGCUUCCAUCACAGCAACUUUAUUGCUGUGGUGACAAUGAGACCUGUAACAUUU
rnacentral:snoRNA from 1 species